GCCCAGCCACAAUCAGCUGUGCCAGAACCCCGGCGACAUCCAGCUCGCCAUCUUCAAAUCCUGAUGAGGAUCUGAUCCAACCG